CAACCCUGCCUGCUGUAUACACCCCAUACUGCAAUCAAAUGUAUUUGGAAAUGAAGGAAAGAGGUCCUUCACGGUUCCUCUAAGGACCACUAAAGUAAUCUAAGAAAAGAUAUCCAGCAGAAUUACAAGAAAAAUAAUGACCGAAGGGACCAUAUUCUGCAGAAAUUGGCUGUAUAACUUUUGGUACUCUUAUCACGCCCAAAGUCUUGCCAUGACGUGCUGUGGGGAGAAAGUCCUUGUGUGCAAAUCUGAGUGCCAGCUGCUAGCACUUUGUCUCAGCAAAAAGAGAGCCACUUGUGAACAACCAGAACGGACGAGCCAAAUGAAAGUAUGCCUUGUGGAUGUGGACAGCGUGACUCAAAGCUGCUGCAUUUGAGCAUCUCCUCACUUGCUGCAUCCUUGGACUUUGCUACCCUGCUGUCAUUGCUUUCCAUUGAGUCACAGUCACCGAUGGCAAAUGUUUUGUCUCUAGAAGAAAGAAGACGUGUCUGCAUGAGGUAAACAGCAUGAAGGGGCUGCACCGGCCAAGUCGUGAAUGAGCUGAUGCAUAACUUCUUUUCCCUUUCCUAUUCUGUCCUGGUAUGUUGCCAGAGCCUGGUUGUCAUGAGAGUAC